AUUGAACGCUGGCGGAAUGCUUUACACACGCAAGUCGAACGGCAGCACGGACUUCGGUCUGGUGGCGAGUGGCGAACGGGUGAGUAAUACAUCGGAACGUGCCCAGUCGUGGGGGAUAACGUAGCGAAAGCUACGCUAAUACCGCAUACGAUCUAAGGAUGAAAGCGGGGGAUCGCAAGACCUCGCGCGAUUGGAGCGGCCGAUGGCAGAUUAGGUAGUUGGUGGGGUAAAGGCGCACCAAGCCGACGAUCUGUAGCUGGUCUGAGAGGACGACCAGCCACACUGGGACUGAGACACGGCCCAGACUCCUACGGGAGGCAGCAGUGGGGAAUUUUGGACAAUGGGCGCAAGCCUGAUCCAGCCAUUCCGCGUGCAGGAUGAAGGCCCUCGGGUUGUAAACUGCUUUUGUACGGAACGAAAAGGCUCUGGUUAAUACCUGGGGCUCAUGACGGUACCGUAAGAAUAAGCACCGGCUAACUACGUGCCAGCCGCCGCGGUAACAC
rnacentral:rRNA from 1 species